rnacentral:rRNA from 1 species
CUACGGGGCGCUGCAGUGAGGAAUAUUGCACAAUGGGGGGAACCCUGACGCAGCAACGCCGCGUGGAGGAUGACGCAUUUCGGUGUGUAAACUCCUUUUAUAUGUCAAGAAAAUGACGGUAGCAUAUGAAUAAGCACCGGCUAACUCCGUGCCAGCAGCCGCGGUAAUACGGAGGGUGCAAGCGUUACUCGGAAUCACUGGGCGUAAAGGACGCGUAGGCGGGCUUGUAAGUCAGGUGUGAAAUCCUACAGCUUAACUGUAGAACUGCACUUGAAACUACGAGCCUAGAGUAUGGGAGGGGGAGAUGGAAUUAGUGGUGUAGGGGUAAAAUCCGUAGAUAUCACUAGGAAUACCUAAAGCGAAGGCGAUCUCCUGGAACAUAACUGACGCUAAGGCGUGAAAGCGUGGGGAGCAAACAGGAUUAGAUACCCCCGUAGUC